rnacentral:rRNA from 1 species
GGGGAAUCUUGCACAAUGGGGGAAACCCUGAUGCAGCGACGCCGCGUGAACGAUGAAGCCCUUCGGGGUGUAAAGUUCUUUCGACAGGAACGAUAAUGACGGUACCUGGAGAAGAAGCUGCGGCUAACUACGUGCCAGCAGCCGCGGUAAUACGUAGGCAGCGAGCGUUGUUCGGAGUUACUGGGCGUAAAGAGUGCGUAGGCGGCGAGCCAAGUUUGGUGUGAAAUCCCCCGGCUUAACCGGGAGGGUGCGCCGAAAACUGGUUGGCUGGAGUAUGGGAGAGGAAAGCGGAAUUCCUGGUGUAGCGGUGAAAUGCGUAGAUAUCAGGAGGAACACCUGCGGUGUAGACAGCUUUCUGGACCAAAACUGACGCUGAGGCACGAAAGCGUGGGUAGCAAACA